AAUCAUGCUGACGUGGUAGACAAAUGAGAAUCAUUCUAAUUAUCUCUGGUGUUUCAAAGUGGAAAAUUAAAUUGCACUGGUAAAUAUUUCACUUCUGCACUUGCCUCUGGACCCUUUCGCCCGCUCUGUUUUAAAGAUAAACCUAUGCUUCAUAUUUUCAUUUCUCUCAUCGGGUGAUAUACUCAGUAUCUGUAACACAAAGAGGAUCUUUGGCAAACAUAAAUGGAACUCUUUGCCGGCUUAAUUAGUUCAGCAUAUUAGCCUGUAAUUCCAACAAUUAAUUCGAGUUCCAUCAUUAUUCAUGUUUAAAAUCUUUAUUCUUGGAUUUGACUGAAAGCGGUUUUGGAAACAAACGGCUGCUCCUUUUACGCUGCGAAUCAAUUUCAUAAUGGCUUCAAUUCACCGCCUCUUUAAUUCGAGGAUCUGAAAAUAUUGCCCAGAUGUCGAUGCAGAAAGCUCCGCAAUACACAGCGACGAAGGGAUUACUGUUAUCUUCCAAUAAAGAAACUGAGGCACAGAGCGGCUCAUUACCGGGAUUAUUCUGUAAGAUCGAUGCCUUCCAAAGCCUGGGUAAAUACUGAUGCCCAAAGAACAUGAAAGUGAGCCGGAGCUGUAGUGGAAAUUAAAAACCAGUCACAUACAAUUGAAUAAACCUGUGUGAAAUUACUCAUUUCCACAUCAGAAAAUUAAUUUAGCCAGAAAUAAUUCCAAGUUGCUGGAUAUCUGUAGGCGUGAGACAGAUCCUACGGAUGCCAUGAAUAGGAGGGUGGCAAUAUUGUUUAAAAGUAUAUCAAAACAGAAUUUGAAAGAAUGAAAUAGUCUUUAAAAAAAAAAAAACAAACACCUUCAGAGCUGUCGGUGUGAAGCUCACUUCUCAGUUUCAAUCCGAGCUCCACCACAGUCUGGGACAUGCAGUUAUUCAUUACAGGCCCAGAAGCUGUUUUUCGCUCGCCGGUUGCUUGCUACACUCGGCUCACAGAACAGAGAAUGCCAGAGGAAUGAAAAAUGCUGCCUUUACUUUUCUUUGGUUCCCUGUAGGAUCCACCCUGUGCAUCAUCCAGGCGAUGCGCGGCAGAUAAAACGCCAUGCAUUUUGCAGUCCUUUCAACUUGUCCCCGCUGUACUCUCUCUUCCCUUGCCCUCUCCCACAGCUUAACAGAUCCGGAAAUACUAUCAAUUCCUUUUACAGGUGUGGAGUGGAGACAUCUUUCAGCUACGAUGAAAAGAAUUUACAGGCAUUGACAUCUGUUUGAAGCUGCCAAAAGCGGUAAGCAGCCCUUCUGCAGGGCUGUGUGGGGCAAACCGGGGAGGCAGGCCUAGGGCCGCAGAGGGCCCUCCUGACCCGCUGGGUGUGAAAACACCCAGGUGCCUUUCCUCUCCUCCUCUAUGCUUUUGGAGGCGGUGAAGCAGAGAAGUAUUCCAUAGAAAUGUAAUUGAGCACAGCAUUGACACAAAUUUAUUCUAACGCAUCGAAAACUUCCGCCUGCAUUCAGUGCUGAGGACAAACCCACCUAUUGUAAUAAGAAAAACAAGAAGCAUUUUACUUUGCUAUUAGCUUUAUACUUUUUUUUUUUCUCUGUGUAAUUACUGGAGAAGUUUAAAUGUAAGCUUUCUUCCUUACGAGCAGAUUUUAAACAAAAAGUUUAAUUCCACGCUUAAAGGAAAAUGUUUUCUCUAAUAUUUCCUAUAAACCUGCGCUGAAUACUUAAUCCUGUGCUUCUGAGAGUAAAAGCUGCUGCUAUGGAUACAGUGAGGUCAACUUUUCAUCACUAUUUUACUGUGCAGGGUUGGAGGAGAUGUAUGAACCUCGGAAUUAGAACAAGGUGCAGAGUGGCAGCACUAAAGAAACACCUUGUCUGCACUGGAACGGUACUUCCAUUUUCACCUGACGCUCCUGCAGUGUUUUACAAAUACUCAUUAAGCUGCACAAAACUCCUGUGAUAAUCCUCAAGGUGACUCCAAAAAGAAAAGAAGAAAGGUUGUAUGCUUCCUACAGAGCAUGAGGAGCUUUUUGAAAGAGCUGCAAAUUUCUACUUGUUUCUUGCAAAGGAGAAAUGAGUAAUGUCAAUUUGUAUCUUUCCUGCCUUUUUAAGAACUCCAGCACUAGAAAUUCUUUUAAUUGAAAGGCUAUUGCUGAGGAAAAUCUCCUCCAAAUUGGCCGUUAGGCAGCUGAGUUAAAUAACCAUUCAAACUCAGUUUUAAGAUUGUCUCACAGAAACACCUUCCCUUUCCAUUACUCCAUUUUUCACUUUCUUUUUAUCACGUUAUCUCAAUCCUUCUAAUUCUUCUGCUAUCCACAACAGUACAGACAAGGAGAGACGAACUUAAAAAUAGCACAGAUUCUUGAAAGCCACACGCAGCUCAAAUAUGUUCAGGCAUUUCUCUUUUAUAGGAAUAAAAACAAA
rnacentral:lncRNA from 1 species